rnacentral:pre_miRNA from 1 species
CCCUUAACUAUUAAAAGUUUCCUUUUGGUCCCUUAACUUAUUUUUUGGUUUCGUUUUGGUCCCUUAACUCUUCCUCCGUCAACCACUUUGGUCCUUUAUGUUAGGAUGAAUGUAUUAGAGUUAAGGACCAAAACAAAAUCAAAAAAUAAGUUAAGUGACCAAAUCGAAACCAAAAAAUAAGUUAAGGGACCAAAACGAAACUUUUAAUAGUUAAGGGA